rnacentral:lncRNA from 1 species
CACUCAAAAUUUUAAACCAUGGCAAAGAAGAACAAAAUGUCCAUAUUUGCAACUUUUAUGGUUUUUUCCCUUCUUUUCAUUCUUUGUAAUUCUUCUUCUGAUGGUAAUUAUUUAAGUGAUUCUAUUGCAACUAUAGACAACUAUUUUACUCCAGUUUCAAAGGGCUUUUUUGCUGAGCUUCAACGUAGGAAAAUGGAGAUUUGCUCAUGUACUCCUUGCUGUUACAUAUGUCCAUGCCCUACUUCUUAAAUUGGCUCUCUAAUAAAGAUAGAGUUAACUUAUAUACGUCGACAAUAUAUAUAUUUUUUGCACUAUCACAUCACCCUUAAUUACUUGUUAUAUGGAUGAUCUUUACUUACAGUUAUCUUUCUCGUGAUCUGAUAGUGUAAAAUUUUCUUUACGUUGUCGACGGAUAUUAGUCAAACUCAAACCAUAGUCUACUUUGUAUUUGUUUUUCCUUUAUGUAUUUCCCUAUGUAAUGUUGAUGUCCUGUUAAAAAUAGAGCUGAUGGUACAUAGAUGAAUAGUCUAUAAACUAUCAGUUCCAAGUGUUUGAAUUGUAUAAUUAAGAGAAUAAAACGUUUAAAUCCUUUUAUGUAGGAAAAUUUGUUCUAUAAACGAUACUUUACUACACUAUAAAACUUCAGAUUUAUCCGUGAGAUUUACUUUGCCCUCUAUAUCAAUAAAAGAGUGAGUUUUCGACUCAGUAAGUAUCAUAGACUCUCGUGAACAAAUUAGCAUACAAUAUUUUUUCUACUGUUAUAAAAAAAAUACUUAAAAUUGAUCGGACCAAACUGAUAUUUUAGAAUUUUUAUAUUAAUAUAAAAUUAGAAUGGCAUGUUUUGGCAGAAACUUAUAACUAUCUGAUUAUAAUAGGUUAAAUUUUAAAUAUAACUUUUUAAAAAUACAGGACCGAACCUAUAUAAUAUACAAUAAUAUGCACAAAAUAUUACUUUGGUUAGAGCCAAGCUUCGACCGUGCCACUAGGUCUUAUCAAUUCACAUAUGUACGAUUUCCUAGGAACUUCUAUUGCGCUCAAUUCUCAUGUAGCUAUUUCCUAGAAACUUUAAUUGCGCUCAUAUAGCUAUAUCAUAUGUUACAUGAUCGUUAAUAUUAUUUUUGUCUUUUAAAUUAUCAAUUGACUGUAGCUAUUUCCUAGAAACUUUAAUUGCGCUCAUAUAGCUAUAUGUUACAUGAUCGUUACUAUUAUUUUUGUCUUUUAAAUUAUCAAAUUACUUAAGUUACAAUAUAAUUCCCCAAUUUAACUCACCAAGGGAUCGGGGCGUUCGUCGUUCGAUAUGGUAAGAUAUUUUGAUUCGGUAUUUUUAAUUUUUGAUUUCGCAAAAUCCGAUAGGUAUGGUUCGGUUUUUCUUGUUUCGAUCUCGGUUUAUUCAGUUCGAUAUCUUCGGUUUAUUCUGUUUGAAUACGAACUAAUGAAUAAAGCCAUACACUCUAAUAUUCUUAACUGAAGUACUCACAAAUACAAAACUGAAAAUAUUUGUUCACAAAAAAUUUGUCCAAAACUAGUAAAUAUCGACUCAAAUAGAGAAAAUUGUACAUAAAAAAAAUAUUUGAUCAGUAGAAAUGUCUUGUUACUUGUUUAGAAUUAAUUGAUAAACUUUGAGAAUAAAGGAAAGUAAACUUUUAAAUUUUUUAUAUUUAUGUUAUAAUUGAUAAUAUAUAUUUUGUGUAGUAUAAUAUAUAUUUCGAUACAGUAUCGAUACUUUGGUAUUAUCAUACGAAAUACCAAAAUACCAUACAAUAAAUACUAAAAUUUUCAAUUUUAAUACGAUCAUUCGAUAUUUACCAAAUUAUGCCCGACCCUACCAACGGAUGCUUUGUCGGCCUUCAUUUCCUCUUUGACUAAGAGAGUAUGACUUCUUGUUUUUUCUAAUUACUAGUAUAACAACAUAUGUUUUCCUAGUUGAAUAAAAAAAUAGUCGAUGAGAGAAGUAAAUGAAAAAAUUAUUAGGGGUUUGUCCAGAUUUUCUUACUAUGGAAAUGACAACUUAUUUAUUAUAAUUGGAAUUUUCUUUUCCUAGAAGGAAGAUAUAAUUUUUCAUGGUUAGUUCCUUUUCUUGUAGGAAAGGUUUGGACUUCUAUAAAUUUGUAUACAGUCAAAAUCGGGCCCUAUUUAAUCGAGAACAAGGGAUCACAUCGAGGGUCAGCCUUGUAAUGGAUCGGGCCAGAGCAUGAAGACGAGCUGUCGAGUUCGAGAAUCGAGGUGCCAGUCGAGAUUGAGGCCAACAACGAUCGAGACCAAAUUUGACCGACUUCGAGCAAAGCGCAAUAAUGAAAAUGCGAGACAUUUGUAACCGGUCGAAGAUCACUAUGGAAAUUCCAGAACAGAUCAAAUCAAAGGCGGUAAUUUAGGCUAAUCAUGGGAUUUACUUCUGUAAUUAUAGUUAUAUCAUAAUUAGGAUUUCUCUAUUAUAUAAAGGGGAGUCCCCAUCAUUUAUAGGCACCUUACAAGGACACGGAUUAAAGCAAUACAAUAUUCUCUCUUUAGAUUACAUUCUCUUAUUUAUCAGUUUGUUACAUUUUAAUUGUUCUUGCAUAACUAGCUCGAGG